rnacentral:rRNA from 1 species
UUCAUACCAACUUUCAUUGUGCGCGUCUUAUGCAGUUGUAGUCCACCCAACCUCAGACACACAGGCUGGCUGGGCCAACAGUAUUCAUAAAGUUUGACCUCAAAUCAGGUAGGAGUACCCGCUGAACUUAAGCAUAUCAAUAAGCGGAGGAAAAGAAACCAACCGGGAUUGCCUCAGUAACGGCGAGUGAAGCGGCAAAAGCUCAAAUUUGAAAUCUGGCACUUUCAGUGUCCGAGUUGUAAUUUGUAGAAGUAGUUUUGGGGCUGGUCCUUGUUUAUGUUCCUUGGAACAGGACGUCAUAGAGGGUGAGAAUCCCGUGUGGCGAGGAUCCCAGUCCUUUGUAAAACGCUUUCGAAGAGUCGAGUUGUUUGGGAAUGCAGCUCUAAGUGGGUGGUAAAUUCCAUCUAAAGCUAAAUAUUGGCGAGAGACCGAUAGCGAACAAGUACAGUGAUGGAAAGAUGAAAAGAACUUUGAAAAGAGAGUGAAAAAGUACGUGAAAUUGUUGAAAGGGAAGGGCAUUUGAUCAGACAUGGUGUUUGGACGCCCUGCGCUCCUUGUGGGUGCAGGACACGCUUUUCACUGGGCCAACAUCAGUUUUGGCAGCAGGAUAAAUCGCCAGGAACGUAGCUGCCCUCGGGUAGUGUUACAGCCUGGUGGAAUACUGCUAGCCGGGACUUGAGGACUGCGUCUUUGACAA